rnacentral:lncRNA from 13 species
AGAGACCCACGCGGCCCUAUUUCAAAACAGCGGCCGCGACUUCCGCCCACUGUGACGUAACACGUCCGAAAACGCCACGGAAACCGCCCACUCGGCUAACUGUCUCCGAGCGGAGCCGGGCGGGAUUGGGCUGGACUCCUGGGCAGGAAAGGACGGACGGGUUGAGUAGCCAAUCAUCAACUGCGCUCCAGCCGAAGGCGGGGUGUUUGCGGGAAACGCGGUUUCCAGAGUUCCUUUCCUAGUCUUGGCCCAGCGUUAGAAUCUUCUGUUUAGUUCUUUGCGCAGCAUUUUCUCUUAACAAGCCUGAGUCUCUUAGGGCCAGAGCCAGGGUUGAGAGAGCAGGUCAUCAUUUUUCUUUCUGCUUCUCUAUGAAUAUAUGGUGCCAAGACAAAUGCAAGGACAUAGAGGAAGCAAACAAAAGUGAGGAAUUUGGGAAUGUGAUUGGAGAAGAAAGUGUCAGACUUUUCCUAAGUAUCUUAGGGAUAAGUCAGUUUUCUGAAAACUAUAACACUCAUACAGAACUUCUUCAAUGAUAAAUGAGAUACCCAAACACCAAAGAUACUGAUGUUAGAAAGCAGUUCAUGAAAAUAAAUUGGAAUUGCAUGGAAUAAACUGCA